GGGCAUGUCCCUAGACCACACAGGUGUGUAAGUCCUGUAACCUUGGAAAACAUUUGAAAUGUCGUGAAAAAUUUUAUGAGUUUCCAAUUAAGUCCCAACUUGAUUUUAAUGCUCGUAUUGGACCUCAAGGGUCCAAUUAAUGGACAUUUUAAAUGAUCUCGGUAAAUGAAUUGUAAUAUAAGUAUAUUAUUUGUAAAAUGUCCUAAAUGUUUUGGUAAUACUCUGAAACCCUAUUCUAAUGACGGAUACGAGUUAGGGGUGUUACACUUCCUGGAUCCCAUGCCCCUUGGAGGUAUUUCAUCAUCAUUGAAAGAGACAAAAUCAUCG
rnacentral:lncRNA from 1 species